UGCUGCCCUUGACUACUAUGAAGACUGGUGUGGGAAGGGUCCCUUUGGAUGCACUUGAGCAGGGGUCCCCAACCCCUGAGCCAUAGAGCUGUAAGGAGCCACACAGCAGGUGGGACCAUCCAGUUUCAGGAAAACAAGCUUAACACGCCCACUGAUUCUACAUUAUGCUCCUACCUCCCGGCAGCCUCGCCAGGCCCAGAACUCUCUCCAGUCAGCCUCUACAGACCAAGCUCAUGACUCACAAUGGCCUAUUUAGGCCCAUACCCUACCUCACGGCAGUCUCCGCAGAUGAGCCUACUGCCUCACAACAGCCUCCACAGGCACAGCUCCAUCGUUACAAUGGCCUCUUCAGACCCAGCUCCUGCCUCCCAGCCUUCUAUCCAGGCCCUGAACUUUCUCCGUGGGACCAUCCAGUUUCAGGAAAACAAGCUUAACACGCCCACUGAUUCUACAUUAUG